UUUUUUUUUUUGUUUAGCAAUUCCAUCAUGCGUAUACCUGUGCUUGUAAUGCCCUUGCAGAGGUCGGAGGAGUGGAUGAGAGAGAGGGCAGAUCAUAUCAAGGAGGGAGUGCGCCAGAUGUUUGAGGCCGGCGGCAAGGCCAUGACUGCAGCCGAGACACUGACGCUGGUGGACACGCUCGAACGCCUCGGCGUAGACAACCACUUCCGCCAGGAGAUCGACAUGGCGUUAGCCCGUGUCCACAGCGAGGAGCUGGAGUGUGACAGCUCUAGCAGUAACAUCCACAUCGUUUCUCUUCGGUUUCGACUGCUCCGGCAACACGGGCUAUGGGUAUCUGCAGGUAUAGUUGUAUGAGUUCAUUCAUAAAGAAAAAGAAAAACUGGCAUGGUCAGUUGAACUGCAUAAUUGUGUAAACGUGUUACCUAUGUUAUUGCAGAUGUUUUUGACAAGCUCAAGGAUGACACGGGAGAUUUCAGCGAAAGCCUGGUGACUGACGACCCAAGGAAUUUGCUGAGCCUGUACAACGCGGCACACCUAGCUGCCCCCGGCGAGGAGACGCUAGACGAGGCCAUCUCCUUCUCGAGGGGCCACCUCGAGGCCGUGAAAGGUGAGCUCAGGUCGCCAUUGGCGGAGCAGGUGUCUCGCGCCCUUGAGAUCCCUCUCCCACGGUUUCCCAAGAGGUUGGAGACGAUGCGGUACAUUGCCUAAUACGAGGAGGAGGAGGAGGAGGGGCACAACGGCAUGAUACUAGAGCAGGCAAGGCUGGACUUCAACCUCGUCAGGUCUAUUCACCUCAAGGAACUUAAGGACCUCUCAUUGUAAGUUUUACCUUUUAUUUCUCUUGACAAAUUUCUCCUGGAAUACUCACCACAAGACUACUAACACUUUCUUACAGUUUUUUUUUAUAUAACUACAUACCAUAACUAUCAAACUAUGAAUAGUGAGUUUGUUUGAUUUGAUAAAAUUGUUGGGAAAGAUGUGAAUUAUAUAUAAAAGAAACUGUCGGCCACUGAAGACAAAAGUAAUAAUAAAUACUAAAAUUUUGGGUCGCUCGUAGAAAAUUGUUCAGAAAGAUAGCAUUUCUUGGACACUCUUACGUCGGAUAUGGCAAUAUUUCUUGAAUCCAUAGGUGGUGGAAACAUACCUACAAGACUACAACACCAUGAAGCUAAGCUAUGCUCGAGACCGCCUAGUGGAGAAAUACUUCUGGACCUGCGGAGUGUUCCAUGGGAAAAAAAUUGGGUGCAGGAGCCCUGCAGACCUCCCGCGGUGCAGGACGACUCCGGAUGUGCGACGCGUGGACCGAAAAAACAUCCGCCGCCUGUGAUCGCCAGCUCGAUCACGCCCCGCGUGAUAACCCCGGUCAGCUCGCAAGCAGAUGCUCGCAAGCAGCGCUCGGCUCCGGACGGCAAUUUUUCUCCGCUCGGCUCCGCAGGGCACUCGCUCAGCUCAGUCGCGCCCCUCUCCUCCUCAUUCCCCUUCCCUCAUCUCUUGAGAAAUUUCUGACGCAAGCCUCUGCCGCCGCCACCGUCAUCACCAAAAUCUGGCCGUGAUGGGAGGCCCCCUCUCCUCCUCGUUCCCCUUCCCUCGCCUCUCGGGAAAUUUCUGACGCAAGCCCCCGCCGGCGUCGCCGUCAUCACCAGAAUCUGGCUGUGAUUGGAAGGCUCUGGCGUGUACGUCUACAACCUCUGCCGCCAGGGCCGCACCUCCGACGCCACCGGCAUACUCCUCGCCGCCGAGGGCUCCGGCUCCUCCGUCGACAUCGUCACAGGGUACUGAUGGUAUGACCACGUCGUCGUUGUGCGCUGGUUCAUCUAUGAUUCCUUGCUUGCAGUUGCAGGUUGUGAAUCAUGAAUCUGCAAAGAAACCAAUAAAUUUCAAGGUGAUGACAGUGAUGUAUUCCAUUUGCUAUUGUGGCUGAUGCAGUUGAGAAUGUAUACUGCCAAUUUGAGAAUUUCAGUUUCUUGCUACUUCUCCUUGCUGAAUGUUUGUGGUAAAGCGAAGUGCUAACUACUUUUUUUUUUGACAGGUUGUUAAAUUAUCAAGGGCUAAGAGCAUCUUCUACCAUAACUACAAUCUGCACUGAUCUGCAGUGAUGUCAAACAAUGUUCUAUUUGAUGUGUGAGUUUGCUCUCAAGGCUGGGUGCGGGAAGAUCAAGUUUGCUGAACACUAGCUGUGGGAAGAUCAAGUUUGCUAAAAUACAAGUCUCAUAUAAAUGAAGCACUGAUCUUUAAAGAGGAGGCCGCUGGGCAUAUAUUCAGCAUUGCAAUGAGGACUCAACUCGAGGCAUGGAUGUAUAGUGUAGUUAUAAAUUUUUACAGUGCAUGGAUGUGCUAAAAAUAGAGAGAUUGUUGAUGCUAUUCUAUUCUGAUGUAUAGUGUAGUAAUCAAAUUGGUCGAUGUAUGGAUGUGUUGAAAAAAAUGAAAUUGUUCUGAAAUAAAUAUUGAUGUUCUGAAAACUGAGUUUGUCUCUCUCAUUUGGAGAUUCUGAAAUACAAGUGCGAACAUUUGCAAUGUACAUAUGGAAUGCAAGGAAAUAUUGUGUGGAUGUGUUUAAAAAAUAAGGUCGUCUUUCUCAUUAUACAGUGUAUCAUUUGCAAAAUUAAAAAUCGGGUCCCAAAAUAUAAUUAAUAUGAAGUAGAAAAAAUAAGUCUGUCCACUAAUCUUCUCAAGCAAUAAAGAUGAGUUUCUCUUGAGAGUUGCCUGUUGUAAAAUAUAAGGAAGCUGCCUUGAGAGCUCCCAUAAUCUUAUUGUUUCUCUGAUUCGUUUCACAGACAAAAUCUGGGAUAUUCCAUAAUCUGAAAAAGGGUCAAAUCUAAAGAGUGGUAUCGGGAAGUGAGUAUACAAAAGAAUGACAGGUCAUAAAGUAUGCUGUGAUCCUUAUCCAACAAUAUAAAUAAGUUACAUGGUACAAACUGACAUAAUACAAAUAAAAAUAAAAUUCUGUGUAACACAACAAGGUUACAUGUUUUCUUGAUUUGGCAUUCCACCAAAAUUUAAUUUCUUAACCGGAUGUAAUGUGGCAGCUCGAUCAACUCCAAGUAAGAGAUUUGUAUAUCCUCCUUGGAUAUAAGGAGCGCCCACGGUAGAAGAAUCUUUGUACAUAUUAAAUUGUGGUAUUAUGGCAUUAGCAUAUCCACCUUGGAUCAAUGGAGCAGCCAUGGACGAAGAUUGUCCAUACACAUCAUUUGCAGAGUUUGGCAUCAUCUUGUUAACAUCGAUGCUACCAUCAUUAACAUCCUGUACCAUAGAAUAUGAAACUGCCCAUAAAUAAUUGCAUAUAAGGAAAUCAAAUAUGAAAAGUUGAUAUAGUCCAACACACAUGACUUACGAUAAAUUGAACUAGAUCAGCACCUUCGUAUACUUCGUAUCUAUUUUCUACUGCAGUUGUUGAAUCUUGUCCUAUAUUCAAACAUAUCAAGUUAACGCAUAUAAUAGAUAAAAACAUGUAGAAUUGGUAUGAUUAUUACCUUUCUUUUUACCACUUUUCUUUUUCUUCCCUUUAUUCUUUUCAAGGGAGACGGUCCCUCAUUUACUCUUUGGGCCUUUUACCACCCAAAGAAUUAUAAAUGAUAUUUUACCUCUCAGUGUGUCUGUAGCACAGUUAGUUGAAACUAGAGGGACCUCAUUGGCUUUUUCUUGCAUCCAGCUUAGAGAAUUAUCUGCUUCCAAGUCCAACUUAUCUAUAGCAUUCUCCAAAUCAACAAGAAGUUCUUUGGACAGUGAACACUUCAAUGCAUGCAUUUUCAAGCUUUCCUUCUCAGAUCCUUGUUUCUCAAUAUAGAAUCCUCUCUUUGCAUAUUUUGUCCAUCUGUUCAAUAUGUAUUGAGAUAGCAACAAGAAAACAUCGUUUGCAUUGAAGACUUUGAGGGCAUGCUUGCACAAUAGACCUAUAUGUGGAUAUCAUAUUUCAUUAAUUUGUAUUAUAAAUUAUACUAUUGCAAUAAAACUUUAUAUACGUACCCAUGGAUUCAUAUUUUCUGCAAGCACAUGUAAUGGUAAUAUCUGGUUUGUUGAAAACAACCGUUGCUCCAUAAUUGAAAACAACCGUUGCUCCAUAAUUGGAGUACAUAUGUGUAAUAUGUGUAACCUUAUAUGUCAAAAUCGACCCCUCAGUGUGUAACAAUUUACAAGAGAAUGAAAAUUGUUCAUUAAAUUCUUCCUCAAACUCUUUAUACAUCCUUCUUGUAUAUAACUCGGCCAUGGUCUUCAAAAGAAGUAUGUGUGCAACUGUGGUCUUUCGACGUGAUUGGAAAUCUUCAUCCAACUCAUUAUUACGAAGACUAGCAGAAACCUUGUCACAUUCUUCAAGGAGUUCUGAAAUACUCAGUUUCCUAUGAGAUCUUUUCUUGAAUACGUUAUUCAUACCUUCGCUCCUUUGAGUGGAGUUCAUAUCAACUGUAAAUGAGUCACGGUACACAGCAGCCCACUUUAUCCUCAAAUCAUAUAAGUUUAACAUCCAUUCAUUGUCCUUAAGGUUGUACUCACACAACAAUUCAUCCCACUUCUUGCUGAAGUAAAACUCAGAUCUGUCUGCAUAGACACAUCUCUUAAAAUCAGGAAGAAAAUUCUCUGGAUGCUGUUGAAUUACAUGACCGAGAUGUUUAGCAACAUUUAGAUAAAUAUGCCACAAACAAAGACGAUGGCUUGUGUUUGGGAAUACAUAAGCAAUUGCACCUGCCAUGGCCGCAUCUUGAUUAGUGAAAAUUGUGCUGGGAUGCUUGCCUGACAUUGUUGUUAAAAAGGUUUGAAAUAGCCAAACAAAUAAUUCAAUAGUCUCAUUAAAUAAUAAUGCAGCCCCAAAAAUUAUUGUAUGCUUGUGAUGGUUGGUUCCCAGGAGCGGAGUAAAAGUCAUUUCAAACUUAUUAGUCUGAAACGUGGUGUCAAAAGACAUGGCAUCACCAAAACAUGUGUAAUCCAUGAUAGAUUGACCAUCUACCCAAAAGAAGUUAGCCAUCCUGCCAUCUUCUUCAUCUAUUUGAAUGGCAUAAAAAAAUGUUGGAUCCUCUAGCUGCUUAUUUUUUAAGUAUUCCAACAAUGUUUGUGCAUCAUUUGAUCCUAAGUACUUUUUUGCGCUGCCGACCAAUCUUAUUGUUACAAUCAAUCCGUGAGAAUGGCACUUUGUCGGCUCCUCCAUAAAAUUGCACCAUAAACUCAAACACCUGGGCUGGCUUCAUCCCGCCCUCCCUCAUCUAGCCAAUUAGCUUCUUGUCCGCUUCUUGAAUACAUCGUUGGGACCUAAGCUUAUGUCUUUUAUUUGGACUUGCAAAGUAAUAGUUGUGAUCAAGCACAACCUUCUGCACUGCUCAAACCCCCUCCUUGCUGACACUAAACUGAAUACGAGCAUCGCAACCUGUCCUUGUAGUGUCCUUUGAUGACUCAAUUUGUCGAUGAUGUUGACUACUGCAAACUAUAUAUUUGAGAUAGAUACUGCCAUCUCCUCGAUGCUUUCUGUCGCUUUUUCUAAUAAUGAAUCCAAUCUUGCCUGCAAAGGUGUUGUAUAUAUCAUAAGCUUCCUUCUUGGAUUCAAAAGACAUUCUAACUUCAGGAACGAUGAAAUAAUUUUCCGUAACUUCAUCAACUACCUGUUGUACAAUGAGUCGAGAAUUAAAGGUGCCUUACAACAAUACAGACUAAGUAUCACUAGAAUUUGUUAUUCAUGUUGCUUCAAGUACCUCAUCUUGCGUUUCAUUCGCUAUUGCUUCUGUGGUGAUCGACUCGGUAUUCUGUGCGACCUAGCAUGUGCUCACGGAUCAGCAAUAGGCCGAGGGCAUGUAAAUAAAACCGCAAAAGAAAUAGGCGACUCUACCUGUGUUAUCUGUUGCUUACUGGCUCCAGGUUCUCCAACGAUUUGCAUAACGUGGACUGUGUUGGAUGCUUGAGUAGAGGAGGAUGGCAUCUGAUGAGAGGAGGGCGCAGUAGGUUCGAUGGCCGUCUGAUUCUCCUGUAGCCUGCAUGCGUCGUGCAGGGCAACGCCGCAACGGAACAGAGUUAACACCGCCGGCUGCUCGUCCUAGUAGAUGAGUUCGUCAAGCCAUCCUAGUAGAAUAUGCCCCGCUGUGGCUGCCAGGUCGCCCUAACUAAUGCGGGUACCAAGCCUUCUGCGAGCCUUGCGAAGCUUGCGAGCCGAGCUGAGCCGAGCGGGGCUGUCACGUGGGGCAUGAGCGAGCAGCAGGGCCCGGGCGCGCUUCCGAGCUGGCGAUCACAGGCAUAGGAGUCGAGCAGGACGCGAGCAAUCGGCAAGGACGGCGGAUGUUUUUUCGAUCCACGCGUCGCACAUCUGAGUCGUCCUGCACAUUUUUUUUCCGUUCCACGAGGCCAAGUACUCGCGAGCAAGGAUGAUGUUCGCGAAGACAGUCGGGCUGCUGUCCACGAUGGAUGACACGUACGAUGUCCAUGCCAAUUUGGAAGAGUGUUGUCAACUGAAUGAAGCCACACAAAGGUAGUAUGUUUUGAAUUGGAGACCAUUUAAUUUAUUUAUCAAAUGAUUUAGUAGUGCUAGAUUAAAAAUCAUCAUUACCUUCAGAUGGGAUGAAAGAGCCGUAGCUAUUUUACCGGACUACCUGCACAUGUUCUACACCAAACUGUUGGCAACCUUUAAAGAGUUUGAAGAUUGCUUGGCAGCUGACGAGAAAUACCGCAUGGCGUACGCAAUUGAAAUGGUAGGAAUGUACAACUGAAAGUGUAUUGAGUACAUACAAGCAUACGCGUGUAAGAAAUAAAUCGAAUAAACAAAUGUAUUAUCGAUCUCUGCUUCUACAAAAUUCAGAUCAAGUCGUUGUCCAAGCACUUCCUGGAGGAGGCGAAAUGGUCGAUGGAGAAGUACGCGACGAGCUUCAAGGAGCACCUGCAGGUGUCGGCCAUGUCAUCCGUGUUCCCUACCAUGGCUGUCUUGCUGCUCCUCGGCGCGGGUGACGACGUGGCGACCAAGGAGGCGUUCGAGUGGGCCGUCGGUGUCCCUGGCGUGGUCACCGCCGGUGCAGAGAUCACUCGCUAUCUCAACGACAUUGCCUCUUACAAGGUUUCAUUUCAUACCAUGCAGGGCUUGUAUAAGUUUGCAGCCGAUUAAUUGUUACUCCUAGAAAGCCAGUAGUUUAAUUCCUCAAGGACGCAUGCUUGCAGGUGGGGAAGAACAAGGGGACGUGGUGAGUGAAAGAUUAUCAGAGGGUUUGAAGCGUGCACUUUGUCUCGUGCCGCCUGCAUGUUAAUAUAGGCCAGGAAUAGCCCCUGGUGUGGCUUACAGAGAGGGAACGAUACAUGCUAGGAAGGAUCUCGAACCAUCACAUCCUAGUGCAAGUAACGGAGACGGCUCCUUCCAGGUUGUUGCCGUGAUCACAGAUUACACGGUUCCUAUCUUUGGCUAUCCUAACUAUGGCAACAACCUGAGGCCCACCAUAUACUUUACAAGUAUAACAGAUUUGUCUAAUACUCCCCCUCAAUCACAACUUCCCUAAGUUGAGAUGGUACUUGAAGUUUUCCAGCUUGCGUACACUUAGUGCCUUAGUAAAUCCAUCCGCCACUUGAUCCUCUGAAGGAACGAAGUCAAUCUGCAGGAGCUUGUUAUUUACCCUUUCUCUGACAAAAUGAAAGUCAACUUCAAUAUGCUUCGUUCUGGCAUGGAACACAGGAUUGGUUGCAAGAUACUUGGCGCCCAUGUUAUCACACCACAAUCGUGCAACAGGUGGACUUGCCACCUUCAAUUCCUUUAGUAACGUCUGGAUCCACAUAACCUCAGCAAUUGCAUUUGCCAAAGCUUUAUAUUCAGAUUCAGUGCUUGACCUUGAUACUGUAGCUUGCUUCUUGGCAUCCCAUGACACAAGAUUAUUUCCAAUAAAAAUUGCAAAUCUACUGGUUGAUCUUCUAUCAUCAGGAUAACCAGCCCAAUCAGCAUCUGAAUAUGCACUUACUAAAAAGGACCUUGAUCUAUUAAUUCUUAGACCAAGUUUGACACAAGAUUUUAGAUACCUUAAUAUCCUUUUUACUGCCGCCCAAUGAACAGUUGUUGGUGCAUGAAGAAACUGACAAACCUUAUUUACAGAGAAGGCAAUAUCUGGUCUUAUCAAUGUAAGAUACUGAAGGGCGCCCACUAUACUUCUGUAUCUCGUCAUAUCUUCAGGACCUAGCGGAACUCCUUCAUAGAUCGAAAGCUUCACACUAGUGGACAAGGGUGUACUUACAGGUUUGCAAUCAACCAUAUUUACUCUUCUCAACAAAUCAUUCACAUAUUUUUCUUGUGUAAGAAUAAUUCCAUUCGAGGUUUCACUUACUUCAAUACCAAGAAAAUAGUGUAAGUCACCCAAGUCCUUCAGAGGAAAUUCACUACGAAGAUCCUGAAGAAGAACUAUUACUGGUUCCGGUCUUGAACUUACCACAAUUAUGUCAUCAACAUAAAUCAGCAUAAACAUAAUGACAUCUCCUUUAAUAUAGUAGAACAGAGAUGUAUCUGCCUUAGAACCUUUAAAACCAAGAUCACAAAGUUUCUUCCUGAGCCUUGAGAACCAAGCUCUUGGUGCCUGUUUCAAUCCAUACAACGCCUUGUCUAGCUUGCAUACAUAGUCUCGUCGAGUUGGAUCUUCAUACCCAGGAGGCUGUUUCAUAUACACCUCCUCUUCAAGUAGUCCAUGCAAGAAAGCAUUAUGUACAUCUAGUUGCCUGAGAGUCCACCCUGGAUACAACAAUAGAAAGAACAACUCGAAUGGUAGUAGCUUUAACAACAGGACUGAAAGUAUCCUCAUAAUCAAUGCCAUAUCUUUACUUAAACCUCUUUGCAACAAGACGAGCUUUAUACCUGUCCAAGCUGCCAUCUUGUUUACGCUUAAUUUUAUAUACCCAUUUGCAGUCAAUAAUAUUCCACCCUUUCUAAGGAGGAAUAUUUUUCAUGAGAGCAUUAUAUUCAGUAUCCAUCGCCUGUUUCCAGUUGCUAUCUUCUAGAGCUUCCCCUAUAUUGCAAGGUUCACAAGUAGAGGAGAGAAGAGAAUAUUUGACUGUACCAUAAACCUUCUCCUUGCGAAUGCAGCUUUGCAAACGGGUCCUGGGCCGCUGGAUUUGCUGAACUUCUCCCCCUGCCGAGGGAGCCACAGAAGUUCUGGGCUCCUGCAGCACAUGAUCCGAAUCGGAUCCGGUCGGCACCUGCGCCGGGUCCCGUGCAGCAGAUGAGCCUUGCGCGAUGUCGUCCGCAGGUGGUUGGCUGGGCUCGGAGUUCCGGGCGGAUCCGCCAGACCCACUUGACGCCGUGGAUGCACCUGCCGCGUUCGUUGCAGGUGCGGGAGGAUCAGCCUCGAGGAGGGCGCCCGAGGAUGCUGCGCCAUGCGCACCUUCAUGUGUUGGCAUGUCGUCGUGCAUUUCUUCAUCAACUGCACAGAUAUUGCUAGCAGGAUUAUUUGGAAAACCAGUCACAUGAUCAGUCAAGUUACUAGCUCCUGUAUUAGUCGCGAGAGAAUUAAGCAAAAAGGAUGGCAAGAGAUUAAUUUCUUCAUGAAAACGAUGGCCAGCGCUGGGGCCAAGAUUCUAGAAAGGAAAAAGGGACUCAUCGAAUGUGACGUCACGAGAGUUAUAUACUCUACCAGAAUCCGGGUCAAGACACUUGAAACCCUGGUGAAAAGGACUAUAUCCGAGGAAGGUGCACUGUUUUGAUCGAAACUGGAGUUUGUGAUUAUUCUACGGUCGUAGGUUGGGCCAGCACGCACGUCCAAAAGUACGAAAAAGUGAAUAAUCUCGCUGUUUUUGAAAUAGGUGAUUUAGAGGCGUGUCAUAAGAGAGCACCUUGCUGGGGAUGCGGUUAAUUAAAUAUGUGGCUGAGAUGAAAGCAUCCCCCCAGAAUUUUAGUGGCAUAAAGGCGUGUGCAAGGAGAGCGAGCCCAACCUCGACGAUGUGGCGAUGCUUACGCUCAGCUGCGCCAUUCUGCUGAUGCGUGUGAGGGCAGGAAAUAUGGUGUGUGAUGCCGACUUGAGCAAAGAAAGGAUGGAGUUUCUGAUACUCGCCCCCCAGUCUGUCUGCAUACUGAUGAUUUUUCGGUUAAAGAGGCGCUGAACAAGGGAUUGAAAUUUUUGAAACUUUGAAAAAACUUCAUAUUUAAACUUAAGGAGAUAUAUCCAAGUGAACUUACUAUAAUCAUCAAUGAAACUCACAUAGUAUUUGUGUCCACCAACAGAAUUUGGCGCUGGACCCCACACAUCAGAAUAAACAAGUUCUAAAGGAUGCUGUGAAACAGUACUAGAAUUAGGAAAAGGCAACUGAUGACUUUUAGCCUUCUGACAUGCAUCACACACCGAAUGUUUAUUUUAAUCCAACGAAACAGGAAGAUUAAAUUGUCUAAUGACUUUCUCCACGAUCGGAGUAGCCGGAUGACCUAAACGAUGAUGCCAUCUAUCAAAGGAAACUUUUACAGCACUAUAAGCAUGCUUUAUUUAGCGCCCAGCAGGAAGAGGAUAGAGCCCAUGAUCACAGUGUCCUCUAAGCAGAAGUUUCUUCGUUGCCUGAUCCUUAAUCAAAAAGAAAUCAGGGUGAAAUUCUAUAAAAGCUGAAUUGUCAGAGGUGAGGCGAUGAACAGAUAUAAGAUUUUUGUUGGCUUUAGGAACAUAGAGGAUAUUUUUUAGAUGAAGAUCACGACUAGGGGUUGUAACAAUAGAAUGACCAAUGCGACUAAUUUCCAUACCUGCCCCACUCGCCGUGUGGAUCUGAUCAUGGCCCUUGUACCUAUCAUGAACUGACAGUUUCUCCAGGUUGCUAGUAAUGCUGUCUGUGGCGCCGGAGUCCAUGUACUAGUUGAUGUCUACUCCAUAGGAUGUAGUUGCACCUGCAUAUUUUUCAUCUGGUACAAACUCUUCAUAAAAUCUGUACCAACAAAUGUCAGCCUCGUGGCCCUUCUUUUUGCAAACCUGACACCUGGGCCUGCUGUCCGGCCCACGUGUGUUGUUGUUGGCGUCGUUAGGGGUGCCAUAUUGUUGACGAGGUGGCCCGCUGGAGCGCCCACGCCUGCGACCAGAAGACCCGCUGCGUGAGCGCCCUCCACCACCGCGUCCUCGUGAUGUGCCAUGCCCCCUACUGGCCGAAUUGACGGAGGAACGCCCGUUGGGUUGUAGCAGAUCCAUUCGCUGCUCGAAUGCAAGCAGUUGGGAGUACGCCUCUCCCACGCUGAGCGGUUCGAUCCUCGCGGUGAGGGACGUGACGAUCGGGUUGUAGUCGUAGUCGAGCCUAGCGAGGAUGUAGGAGACCAGUUCGUCGUUGUCGAUGGUCUUCCCAGUAGAUGUGAUCUCAUCAGCGAGAGACCGCAUCUUGCCGACAUACUCGGCCAUGGAGAGGUUGCCCUUCUUCAUCGUGGCAAUCGCAAUUUUGGUGUUGACGGCGUGCGCUCGAGUCAUCGAGGAGAACAUCCCCUCGACAGCUCUCCAUGUUUCAGUAGCAGUCUUGCAGGCGGUUAGCUGAGACUGAAUAGAACUUGACAUAUUUGAAAUUAAAUACCCUAGGACCUGUUGAUCCGUAGCAACCCAGUCUUCAUAGGCGGGAUUGGAGAUCUCCACUUCUUUGCCAUCCUUCGUCUCCUUGAUCAUGAUUGUGGGGGCCUUUGCUGCACCUGUGAGGAAACCCUCCAGGUGCGCGUCCCUCAUGGCUGCGAGAACUUGCAUGCGUCAUAGCGCGAAGUUGGUCUUCGUCAGCUUCUCAAAUACCCCUUGGCCGGUCAGGGGAUUGAUGGCGACGGUGGAAUAGGAUGUUGACAUGGUGGGGGGUUUGAUUGGAUUGGAUCUAAGUGUAGGGUCUGAUACCAUGAAAGAUUAUCAGAGAGCUUGAAGCGUGCACUUUGUCUCGUGCCGCCUGCAUGUUAAUAUAGGCCAGGAAUAGCUCCUGGUGUGGCUUACAGAGAGGGAACAAUGCAUGCUAGGAAGAAUUUCGAACCAUCACGUCCUAGUGCAAGCAACGGAGACGGCUCCUUCCAGGUUGUUGUCGUGAUCACAGAUUACACGGUUCCUAUCUUUGGCUAUCCUAACUAUGGUAACAACCUGAGGCCCACCAUAUACUUUACAAGUAUAACAGAUUUGUCUAAAGCGAGCUCCGUGGAGUGCUACGCCAUGGAGCACAGCGUGGCCGGCGAGGAUGUUGGCGGAUCAACGGGGCGUGCAUGGGCAUGGAGGCGGCGGUGCUCCCCGUGGCGCGGCUGAUGGUGAACCUUGGCGAGGACGAUGGAGGUCAUGUACCUUGGCGGCAGGGACGCCUACACCUCCGGCGGCGACCUCAAGGACCUCAUCACCCCCCUCUUCCUCGAGCCCGAAACCUCCUGAUGGCUGCUUAAGUGUUGCAGAAUAAUCAGGCAACAGGGUCUCACUGUUUGCUGGUUACUGAAGUUACCAAACAAGAGAAUUAGGAUAUGUACACUCUCUCGCCUGCAAAGUAUUUAGUUUCGAAGCUAAAAAUCAUAAAUAUUUAUGAGUGCCUGUACUGCGUUUCGUAACAGAAAAUAAAGUGUAUAUCGCCUGAACCCAUAUUUUGGUUGAAGCUCAGGUAGAUUUCCUUGCACUACGUGUUACACUUGUCCAGUGCUUCCAUAAUGAAAUCGAGUGAAAGCAUUGGGAAAGAAUUGAAAACAAAUGAAAUGGUUCCAUUUAUAAAAAACAAAUGAAAUGGAUUCACAUAGUAAAAAAUAUGAAGCCAUGGUUCCAUCGAGUAUUACAGGUCAAACCACUUAUGGAACAACUUCCUUUACUUAUCAAGACAAACAUUUAAAUCUAUCAACAGAAACAAGCCAUCCAUAACAAAGUAGCCACCAUUAUUUACCUGACAAAAGGACUGCUCACACAGGUUAUCAUUGCUAAUCGUGACUUACAUUCCACAUUAGACUCACUGCUUCCACGUAGCACUCCCUGAACCUGAAGUUAUCUCAGUGCUACACCAAAACUUUAUAGAAGUAGAACCGGCACAAAGAAAACCAAAACCAUAUUACCAUAUAUAUGCUUUACUCGCAAACCAGCAUUGGACAAACCAGGAUCAGGUGCAUAUGCAUACAAUAGGAAAGCAAAGUUCUAUAACUAUAAAGCCCUGUGCAAAAGGAUUUUACACUUGUAACACUCCCUCAAUUGCUGAAACACCACAAGCAAAACUAGGGUUGGCAGCUGCAGUUGCCUGUAGAUAACAAGGAUGUAAUCAGAAACAACCAGCAGCAUACCAUGCGACACCCCCAUUAUCUAAUGGAUCAAGAGGCCAGGUCAGGGGUGGCCUCCCCAAGGGAAAUGGAGGACAGCUUCUGGGUCAACAGAUCAACUAAUGAGCUCGCAUCAACAUUAGCCUUGAUAUUCUGGUGCACAGCCGGAACGUUCUCCUUUGGAGUGUCUGCAGCCACCACCGGAUUUGUCUUGUGAAGGCACGCUUCAGGUUCGGCGACCUUAAGAGGAUCUACUUCCAUUUGUACAGUUUUGAGGGGUACUGCCUUUGUCGCCUUGCUCUUGCAAGCACUGAUCUCCUUAUGAGGUGCUGCUACAGGUUUUGAUUCCUGUUGACAAAGGGUAGAAGAUGCCUGAGAGGUGGGUGUGGCAGGGUGUGAACACUGUAUCUCCGUAAGGGGCAGUUGUACCGGUGCACCAACUUUUUGGUCAAUGGAUUUGUCCUGAAAACAUACGCAGCCAGAUAGUUAGAAGCAUAUCGAUAUAGGACAUUUGCACUUCUGCGAGUGGAAAGAAGAUACAGAAUAAAAUGCACGUACAUGUUCUGGUUUGAUCACAACUGGACUGAUCCGGUGCAUGCAUGCUUCAGGAACAGCUACCUUAGAAGGUUCUACUUCAAUUUGUGCAGCUUUGAGAGGCAUGGCCUUACUUUUGGAAGCACUAGUCUCGUAAUGAGGUUCUGGUUCUUGUUCAACAAAGGUAGAGUUCGGUGUGGCAGGUAACAAGCACUGCAUCUUCAUGGAUUUCUCCUGAAUACAUGGACAGCAAGAUAGUUAGAAGCACAUUGAUAUAAGACAUUUGCACUAUUGCAAGGAAACAAAACAUAAAAAAUAAAAUGCACAUACAGCUUCAGGUUCAGCAACAACUGGAUCAGUUUGAAGUGUACAGGCUUCAGGUUCAGCCACCUUAAAAGGCUCCACUUCCAUUUGUGCAACGUUAAGAGGCAACGUCUUAAUUGCCUCGCUUUUGGAAGAAUCAUUUUCCUUACGAGGUGCUGCAUUCAGUUUCGACUCCUGUUGACCGAAUGUAGAUGAUGCAGCGUUCAUGUUCUGAAUAGGUGGCUGAGAUUUCGGUGUGGCAGGUAGCAGACACUGAAUCUUCAUAGGUUGCAGCUGCACCUGUACACCUAUGUUUUGGUCAAUGGAUUUUUCCUAAAGACAUACACAGAGAAAUUGUUAGAAGCACAUAAACAAAACGAAUAAACAUUAGUGCAAGGGAAAGAAUAAAACGUAAAUGCACGUACAGCAUCAAAAUAUCCUAUCUUGGGUGUUGGCCUUCGCAGCCCUGUUGGCUUAAAACCUUUUCCCUGGUUCAUUAGAUCUGCAGCAGAUUUUGAAUUAUCUCCACAUGCUGAAUCUCCCUCUGUGACAAUAGGAGGCCUAAGCUUUGGGGUCGGAGGGCAGUCAUUGCUCUUCCUGAGGGAGGGGGACAGUGUAUUCAAACUCUCAGAUGUAUGGCUCAUCUUCCCUACUGUGGAAGCUGUUGAGGCCCCAGAUAUCACAGAGCUCAUGCUGUCCACAGAGCUGCUAGGUGAAAUGAUUGGUGAUGCACGGUCAGUGUGACCCCUAGCUGCAAUCCUGUUCCCCGAUGAUCUUGAUGGGACAGUUUUGCUGAUAUCAGAUUUUGACGAUGAACGAACAGGGACCCUCUGAGCAGUCCUAUUCUUGUUGCUUAGGGUUGUUCUUGUUUUUGCUUCUGGUCCAGUAUCCGUCGAAACACCAUGGGAAGAAGCUGUAGUUGAUGUGAAGGCACCUGAUUUCAAGAUUGAACUGGACUUUGUACCCCCACUAGGCCGCACACUAGCUGAAGUAUUGGCAGUUUUGCCAGCUGCUUGCCUAUUGACAGCACCCCCUGAAAGAGGAAAUACAUAUUAGGCUAGGUAUAUAUUGAUCUUACGGGAGAAUAAAAAAUGUAUGCCAAUUCACACACCAGUGCUGCUUCUUUUGUCUGAAGUAGCAGAAGCGAUAGCAGUGUUAGUUGACGACCUCAUCAUAGCAACUCUUGGCAGAGCCCUAGGAGGUUUUGAGGAUGUUUUUGCUUCUGUAGAUCCUGGCAAAUUCUUCUCAACAAAAAGAGUAAAUAUGAAACUAAGAUCAGAACAUUACACAAGAUGAGCUUUAAAUAAACCAAGCAAGAAGGAAAUUGGUCUGACAAAAGAAACAUUACAAAACUUGUUUGAUUCUUGUUAUUAGGAAGUCAAUUAUGUGGAGCUCCAUAGUUAGAAAUCUAGUGAACAUAUAUCAUUAACCUUAUAGAAAAAAACAAGAGCCCAUCCUGGUCAUCGAGAUUUUAAUUCCAUGUUAAGUACAGAGUGAGAUUUGGUGAGCAAGAUCAAGAGGGAAAAUACUAGAUAUUAAAGAUAUUUCAAUUGCAUGUUCAGGUACAUUACUCAGACAUAAAUUUAGACGGGGUGGGGGUGGGUAUGUUGGCUUCUCAGACAAGGCAGCCUGAAGCCUAGCUAAUUCUACUCACAAGAAUUUCAGUCAAUUUCAAAAAUCAGGAUAUAUCCUACAUUUUUAUUUGCUUUGUUAGUAAUACAAUAAAUGUUGAAACAAACGCAGAUCCAAUUAUAUGUUAAUGGUUGAACUGCUGCAGAGGUCAUGAGUUCGUGAUUACUGAGUAAUUACAGACAUGGGGCAUACCACUCUUGCAGCUGCAGACUCUUUUGAGUUGACUUGGGACCUCUGUUUGACACCACCAACACCUUGGCUCGUUGAAACAGGGGCCCUUAUCUGAAUGUAAGAAAAUGUUAGCUAGCGAUUAAAGAUGAUCACUAGCCACAGAAAUUUGGCAAUAGAUACAAUGAAGUGGGUUGACAUACCUUAGUCUGAGGCAUCCGAUCAACCCCUUUUCUAGCUGGAAGGAGUAAUAAUAAUUUCAUCAGUUACCAGCAGAAGAUAAGUCCAUUAGAGUUGCAAUUAUUCAAUGCUAAGUAGCACGUUGUGUUGACAUUGGAGGCUUGUUACCUGCAAUACGAGGCACAUUUGCUGUGGCCUUUGGGGGCUUUGAGCUACCAGCAAGCCCCCCUGGAACUUUAUUGGGUUUGCCAAGAGACCUUUGGAUGGAGGCACGGACAUUGUCAAACACCUCAGUCUCUAGGCUUUCCAUUGCCCAAGUUUCAUUUUCCACAGUUGAGGUUGUCGAAUCACCAGACUUCCUCAUUUCUUCCACAAUUCCAGGCAGCCUGGAACCCUGUGUCUGGCAGAAGGUGCUGUUUACAAUGGCCAACUCCUCGGUGUCGAGAACACCUGUAAAGAUGAGGAAUUAUUAAAAGCUCCUAACAUCUGCAUCAUCUGAAUUUACUACAAGAGACAGCAGUAAUUUCAAAACAAAAUGGGGGAAGUCAGUAACAGGACACAAGAGUCUAUAACAAAUGGGGCAGUGAUUCAAGGGCAUUGUGCAGUCAUAGGGAUAACUCUAACCUUUAGCCAGUGAAUACGUGCAAGCCUACUACAGCAAGUGGCAACCACAAUUAUGACAAAACAAAAGGUCACAAUAAGAUUCAUGAGCAUUCUAGGCAGACAUGGCAGAACAUACAAGCCUGUAACCAAGCGCAACAACUGUAUCUAGGAAAGAAACAUCAUGGACGUUGACCGGGAUAAGACGGAAUCAACCUUCACUGGUAAAGAAUGCGCUGUCCCAAGCCAAGCUUUUGCGGAGGUUCACCCCAGUCUUAACCUUCCGCUGCUUAGGGGACUCCGUCCGCUCGGGGGCCGCCUGCUCCUCCAUCAUACCGUUCGGAUCCGCAGCCCGGCCCGCCGCGGCCGGAGAACCGGCGGCGGGGGCUAAAUAAGGGGCCGCCUCGGCGCCCACCAGGGACCCUAAAAACCAAAAUCGCCGCCCGUCAGAUCCACAAAAACGCAACAAAGGGCACCAAUCCCGCGAUUCCUCCAAGGCCCCAAAGGAAAUUCUCCCAAAAUGGGUCGUGGGAAUGGAAACCCUCACCUGCGUGUGUCGGAUCGGGGUGACGCGGCGGGGCCGGGGCCGGGGGGGGAGUGGCGAGGUCGAGGAGGAAGUCGUCCUCGGCGGAGACGUCGAUGAGUGAGAGCGCCUCCAUGGGCGCGGCGGAGGCCGGUGGGCGGUCGGAGGUCGCCGGAGGCCGGUGGGGAAACCCUAGAUCGCCGCCGGCGUGGGGGGGGGUGAGGAUCGGGGAGGAGGCGAUGCGAAUGCGAGGCGAGCUGGAGAGACGUUGGAGAUGGGGGGUGAAGGGUUCGGCGGCUGGGUAUAAAAAAUGUUUGGAGGAGGUGUGGUUGCGGCCCGCUGCGACUGCGAGUGACGCGUCCUGCCGUUUGGAGAUAGACUGACUGGUGGGGCCGGCUGGGGGUCUGUAGGAGGGUUUUGUAUCGCCUAGGUGAUUAUUGCUUUCCAUAUGGGGUGUGAUCAUUACACGGGCGGGAUGGUUUGAAUUUUCGGGCGUUUGGGCCGUGUUUCUCUUGGGCCUCCAUUUGAGUUGGACUUGUGGUCCAAGCACGCAUUGUUUACUGUAUCAACAACGGCCUGUUUUCUUUUUCCUCCCAGGCAGUCUAAUUAGCAGGAAACCAUACAUACGUGCGUAAACUACAAUACUUGUGUUUCGAAAUUAGUGGAAUGCAUUUUUUUUUCUCUAAGAGAGCUAUGUAUCUUUGUAUCACGACGAUUCAGGACGAAGAGUGUUGUAGGGCUAGGCGGCUAGCCCAAGACAACUUUUACAACGCGGUCUCUAGCAAAUGCCACGCAUAUAACAAAUAUUGUAUAAAACUACAGAAACUUUGGAUGUAUAAUUUCCAAUAUUUUGUACUGACCCUUGUGUGGUUUAGAUAGAGUGCGAUCCCAGAUGGAACCGUAUCGGAGAGAGUGCAAUCGAUCAACGCUAACAAAUUCCACCAUAUCCCAGUAUCCCACCAUAACAACCUGAAAUCCUCCCAUAAUAGUUGGAUCAUUCCAUGUAUUCCAAAAACAGGCGAUGAAACAUGCUAGCACUGGAACAUUUCCACUUGCUGCACAUCGAUGGAUGUGGCCUCUGAAAUUUGCAGUGGCGUCCUUACUAAAGAGGGUUGAAAUGUUGGCGUUGUGGCAGACAACCACGCACGGUAAGGCGCCAAUGAUUUUGCCUUGCAACAAGCGGGCAAACACAAUACCGGGCUCCGGGCUGUCCCGUGCGAAUGGACGUCUUCAGCAGUGGCAACGGUAAUAGCAUUACCAUCAUGCACGGCUAGGCCUGCACAAGAAAAGGGAUCCAUCGAUCACACACGCCCGGUUCCAUUUAUCUUGCUUUCCAGGAUGUGGCCAUGAAAAAGGGAGGGGAUUCAGUGGAAGGCGGGGCAUGUGGAGGCGUGGCGGUGGCGCCGCCUUGGCUAAGCGGCUCGGGAUGCGGUCUGCGAGUGCCAAGUUGAGCGCGUGCAGUGACGGAUUGGAAUGCUUCGGGCGAAAGCCCUCGCUGACCUUCGUGCCAGUGCGGAUGACGGCGGCAUCCUAGGGCGUCGUUUUUCUUGUUGGGAGCGUCAACUUGGAGCUACAAUCCUCCUACACAGGGUUCCUCCGGAUGAAAACUCUGUCCAGAUCCUGGACGAGCAACGGCGGCGCCAUUGGCGUCGUGCCCUCCUUGGAGGCGUCGUCUCUGGAGACCCGACUCGACUUGGCAUCGCGGAUCCAUUGGGCGGUAACAGCUGGUGGCGCCAAUCCCGCCGUGUGGCAAGCUCGAAGGGGGCUGCCGAGCUCACGUGGUGGCAAUCACAGUCAUGGUGGCGGCCAGGGGUCGUUGUACGGUUGUCGGUUGACUGCUUGCAGCGGAUCACGGUGACUGGCGUUGCUUGGCAACGGUCAGUGCAGCAUGGAACUGCGUCCGAGGACGGCGCUGGUGGCAACAACAUCGUGGGAUGACUAGGUUUGCAAUGGACCGUGGCGUGUUUUUCUGCUAGGCCGGGCUAUCCGGUGCGGUACAUCGUCGGAAGACAGCGCAAGCGACCGUGGCGUGUUUUUCUGCUAGGCUGAGCUAUCCGGUACGGUACAUCAUCGGAAGACGGCGCAAGCGAUGGACUUUCGUUGAAGUGGCGGCGAAGGCUAUGUGCGUGGGUGAAGCAACGAGGAGAGGCCGACUUGCGGCGGCGGCUCAGCUAUUUGAUGGAGAUCUGGGGAAGCGGGGCAGCAUCGCUCCCCACACUGACAACGAUAAAAGAAACGGAUCCGUGACAUGGAGUAACGGGGCGAGCGUGGCAAGGCCCCCGCAUGUGGUGAGAGCAAGAUGGAGUCCAACGGCGGAUGUGGCGAGGGCCCUCCCAUAUUGUGAGGCAGUCUGCGAGAGGUCUGGAUUCGGUGGUAUCACCCUAUCAGGUAGAGGGUGGUGUCUGUAGCGGCACUUCGGCGGAGGGUCCCGCAAGGCGGUGGCCUCCUCAAUGGGGUGCAAUCUGCUUCCAUCAGGUCCCUGUCGACGCAGGACUACCCAUGGAGGUUUCGGCGACUACAUGAGAGUGAUUGUUGGUGGGUGCUGCAAAUAUUAUAAAGACUUCGGUUCUACUGCCGCAGCGAGUGGGGUGGUUACCCGUGUUGACGUUCCAAUCCAACCGGGUAGCCCUUUCUUUGUCUUUCUUUUUUUUCUUUUUUUUGACUAUAGCCUCCUAGGAACGAUAGUCUUGUAUUACCUUCUCUAUUAAUUAAUAAAGCCCGGCAAUCUCUGCCGGGUCUUCAGUUUCAAAAAAAAAACAGACUCGAGUUUAAUUUGAUGAAGAUGGGAGAUGGCAUUGAUAGUAUCAAAUGCAUAGAAUCGUACUUGUUGAAACAGGAACAAAAACUUAUAAAUACUACACGACACAGCAUUCCUGGCACAUAUAGCUAUUUCAGGUUGGUCUAAACAUUCUCUCAUUAGAAUUUAGCAUAUGCAGAAACCCAAGUUCUUGGGAAAAAAGUUUCCCAAAGUAGUAGAAAGGUACAAAUAAUAACCACCACUACUAUCAUUUUUCAUCAGAUUUGUGAGUUGUGGAAGUAAUUAUCAAUAAGUUCCACACAAAUUUGCAUAUCGGAGCAAGUUAAUGUGAGUGUUGUUAGUAUCAUACCAAGGGUGAUUUAGCUGGUGGAACCCCAGAAAAUGAAACAGGAGAAAGAGAAUACAUAGAUAACGCAUCCACAAAGAUUUUAGUCCCAAAAUAGCAUAUUCAAUUAAUUAUUUUACAGAAAGACAUAAUUUUGUGCUAAAAGUGUAUACAUACUUUUCAGUUCCCAGAGUCCUCAUUGGUUUACCCCUGUUUGGUCUGCUCUCAAUCUUCAGAUCAGCAAUAAAAAGUCAAGGAUUCAGAACUAAUUGCAACUCACAAACAGAGAAUCCUGAGAGAAAUUUGAAAAUUCAAGAGAAAGUUCAUCCUGAGUAUCACCUUUGUCAAAUUUAAAUCUCUCUUCCAAAAUGCCACUAAAGCCUUGUAAAGUGUCCCAGGGCCUUCUUCAAGACCGAAAACAAUGCUUGUCUGGUACAUUAACAUAGCUAAUUUGCAUCAUCAAACACUUGAUUGGAAAAUGUAUUUGCGGAAAAAUAGCAAAACCAAGCACCUUAUAUUGGCCAUGUUCUUUGGGAAUGUUAGCAGUUCUGGCCAAUACCAGGUAUCUUGUGACGUUAGGCAAAGCGUCGUGCAGAAUUUUUGUUUUAUAGUGUGUUAGAUUUCUGAAUAAGGUGAAACUGAACAGGAACCAAAAGAGCAGGUUUAUUAUUACGAACAAUUCUAGACAAUAUUUUACAGACAAUACCUAUUUGCAAGGAACACUAUAUUUGAUAAAGCUAUUCUUGAUUACACCUACGUAACCUUAGGAUAUGCAACCUCAGAUCCCAACGAAUGUAGGUUCGAUUCCGACAAAUGUAAGUAUGUAACUAUGCUUGGAUAUCAACAUGCCAAUCAGAGAAGCAGCACUCCAGAUACCACAACCAGAUAACCUGCAAAACUGAUCUCUGUUGGGCUGCCUCUCUGCUCAAAUGAACCAACUUUAUGACAGAAGCUCAAAUAAACUUUUCUUGUGAAACAAUGAAACAGAGAUAAAGUAUCUGUUUAUUUAAUAGUGAAAAAAAAAGUUGACGAGAAAAGAUUACAUUUUGAGCAAUGCAUUACACUUGCUCAGUGAUUUGUGAUGUGCAACACUGAGGAAAGUGAGAAAGGAAAAUAAAUAAGAUGAAAUUUCAAGCUCUCAGCACAAACAUCUCAACCACAACGAAAGUACCCAUCAUUAUGUACCUCAUAUGUUGGAAAAGCGAAAAAAUUACUACCUGAAAGUUGCACUCCAGUAUGUUAAGUCCAUACAAUUCCGCCACACGAGCAUUGCCUAUAACUCCAGCAUCCCUCAAAUUUUGCUUGGAUAUAAUCUGCAAAAGGUAAUAAAAAUCACAUAUAGGAAAAAUCCAAUAUAUGACAAGGAUUCUUAAUGUUUUAACCAGUACCUCAGCACCAGCAGCUCCAUGAUCUACAUUUUUCUUUGAAACACCUAAAUUACAAAGUGAAUAUUCGCAUUGAGCAAGAUCCUGCAUGCGACACACUCAUAUGAUGAGGCGAUUGAGAUAAUGCUCACAAGAAUAAUGUAUGCUCUAAUUUUUAUCUAUUUGGGAGCUUUCCAUAUAAAAUGCACAUUCUUGUGUAUUUGGCUAAAAAAACUUUCAAAUACAUCAUCUAGGUCAAGGUGAUGGAGCAACCGAGCAAGACAGGCGUCCACACAUAAGCCUACAUGGGCAACAGAAACUGCUAGUUGCCAACAGAAAUUGAGUGUUCAGUUUUUAGCAUAACCUGUGGGUGGCUGAAAAUUGUCUGUAUAUCGUCCUUCUGCACUCCAGGUAAAGCCAGGAGACAUAGCUGUACAUCCAUUUGUACUUCUUGCACGAUUUGCAAAUUGUGACUAAGAAGCAAGUCAUAGCUCUGAUGAAAGCUUCCAAUAGAUGAAUUUUCUAUAGUAAGAACAGCUUUAUCGGCAAGUGAAGACUCAACAGCCUGUCAGCUUUCAAGUGAAUUAGAAUUGAUAGAUUUUUUUGAGUUCUUAGGUUACAUAUGUGUAAAAUCUCUGAAAGGGUGACAACCUCGAGUGCACCUUCAGACCUUUUGUGGGGAACUGCUAUACAAAUUGGGAAGGCUUUAAGCACCAUUGCCUCAAUGACUGUACCCGGUGAGCCCUAUAUUCAGGAAUCAGGAGAAGACGCAUGAAAUAUUAUAAACAGUUAAGGGGAAUGAUUACAGAUUAUACCUGAUAUGUCACACGGACAUUAGACCUUUCAGUAUCCAACGGCAGAUCAGUUGAAAGCAAUGGCCCUGGGAUGGGGAUAUCUCAGAUCAUGAAUACUUGUACAGACUUGCAAUGGAGCACAGUACUGCAUUUGCUGAAUGAAAAGCUUGUUGAAAUAGGAAUUAUCCUUUGUUUUUGUCUCAUUAAGAAUUGGACGCAUGUUACUCAAACCAAGAACCAAGUUAUGAGAAAUGAGCAAUAGAACACCAAAACUUGUGUUGUGUUGCCCAGGAUUUAAAUAUACACAAAUAAACAGCGAACACUCUCCAAAUAUAACUUCUAACUUGCAUCUCAUGACAGAUCUUACGAUUGUUAGUGUGGAACAAACUACAGCACAUAAGCCAAAGAACUAUCAAAUCUAGAAAUAUAUAAUAGAGGAAAAGAAUUAAUGUUCAUGUGUAGGUUUAAAUAACCAUAUUAACAAUUUUUUGUUUAAAAUCUUUAAAUAAUUGGUCCCAGUGUUUUAAAGGCGUCGCCUAGGCAUCCAGCAGACUAGCUCGCCUUGAAAAUCGGUCCACCUUGUCACCUAGGCGAUAAGGCGUGCAAAGAUUUCCAAGCUUGCCUUAUCGUCUUCAAAACACUUAUUAGUCCUCACAUGAAAAUGCUCAUACAGUUGAAUGAAUCUUCAAACGGUGAGGUCGAACUUACUACCAAGUAAGAGAUCAUUCGAUGCCCACUCCAUGAUUGAUUGAUAGAGCCGAAAGAUGGGCAGUCACAGCUUAGGAGGUGGGGUAAGGACUAUGGCCGGAAGGUUGCAGAACGAGAGGCUGGAAGGUAGCCAAGUGGCACUGGCGCGGCGGGGCGUGGUAAGGAGGGGGAUUCGGCAACGGAUCCGACGGUGGAACAACCCGUGGGAGGCCGCGAGGGGGAAACGUUGUUAUGGAGGUGGGGGCGGAGGACGCAGAUACGCCUCGACACUAGUGACAUAUCGACAAGUGGAUCCCGCAGCUGGUGGACCCAAAAUGUUAGUGACUAAGGGUCUGAUUGCUUUCCUGUUAGGGUGAGCCAGGCUCGUCCUGGGGAAAGCUAGGCUCCCGGUGGCCUGACCGAGUACAUGCGGGGCACUGUUUGGUUGUCUGCUUCUGUGCAGCCUGGCUGCUUAGAGUCGUUGACUGGUUAGCUGCACGCAAAGCAAAUACAUGCACAAACCAAAUCUUUCUUGCUCACCCGCACGCGCACGUCACACCGUCAGGGCCUGGCUCCGGAGAAACACCGAUUUCUUCUGCAUCUCGAGAGCCAUGCUCACUAGCACCUUUUGCACCGCGCGGGCUAGGUCCAAUUCCUAACGCGGGUAACCAAUGAAAGUAAAUUUGUAUCUGGCGAGCCUGGAUCAUAUCGCAUCCAGCUAACCAAUCAGACCCUGUAUAUCAUAGUGACAUGGUGAUGUAUGCGUCAAAAUAAUGACACACUGUUUAUUUCACCCUAUUUGCUUCUUACACAUUAAUACAUCAUCGUUGGGCGAUCGAGGCGACGGAGGCGUCGGGCUUCAAUUGGCGCGGUGAAGAGUGGUGGCGAGGUAUGAUCACAGUGGUAUAAAAGACCGUCUCGUGUGGGGGAAGACGAAUUCUAAUUUCAUCAAGACCGUCCGUUUUAGGUGGUUAAAAAUAUCGAAUACAGCCCCGCCCCAUUUCUAUUUGUACCAACUUAAGAUGGAAAAAAAUUUGGUGCAGGAGGGAUGCAAAGCGCUCUCCAUGCAGCCCUAUCCCCGAUGUGCGCCGCGUGUCUCCCGAGAAGAUCCAAUGACCCGCCUCCUUUGCUUUCGGUCGUUCGGCUCCUUCAAUCCAGGGCUCGGCUCAGGCCCCUGCAUACAGCUCUUUUUCCCUGCCCUACAAGCCGCGGUUGUGACAUUUCCCCUGCUCGUCGUCAUCCCCCAUUCCUCAUCCUCAACAUGGCUAGGCCCGCCGCCACCAUCCGACCAGGGCUCCCCGAUGCUCGAUUUUGCUCAGGACGUCCACACGCUACCGCCUUCCUCCUCGCCGUCAUCUCACUCUGCAUCCAAGGCCCGCUCGUCGGCUGCAGCAGAUGGACUUGCCUCCGGGUCAACGUGCUGAACUUUGACCAGACCGAAGGCGCCCGCAUUGCGUAGGACGGGUAGAACACCUGUACAGUCAGGCAAUCCAAAGGAGAAAGUGACAACACUAUAAUACAGUAGAACGUUAACUGAUAGUCUGUAAAUGAAGUUCAGAUCAUUAACUGUAACACAUUUAUGUUUCAUGAAGGCUCGUUUCAAGAAUUCGAGAAUGGACGCUCAUGUCUAUGUCUACCCGAUUCUAAACUUGUGGAAUUAUGCAGGUUCUCCUGGCCAUAAGAUCUCAAGGUGGUUAGCUUGCCGCUUUACUUGCCCAAUGUGCCACAGCAAGGACCUGUAGUCUCAUCCUGACGAUAUGAUGAAUUCUGAAGAGAUUCUUGCUGUGAGUUGAAGGAAGCAGAUCAUCCUAGAUGCGUACAAAUAACUACAUUAAUCAAAUAAAUGUAGCAUAUGAAUGAAAAUCACCACUUGUUAGAUCCUACACACCCAUGUCAAAUACAACUAAGAAACAACAAGUUCCAUUGUUCCAGUUUUGAUUGCAAUUCGCUCUUGCAUCCCACCUCCCAACCCAUCGAUGCUUUUUGCAUUUGCGCUAGGAACCACCGGUCAACAAGGAAGUGGUAGCCCUAGCGGAUGAGCCGCAUGUCCAUCAAUGUCGAGCAACUCCUAGUCUCGACGCUGGGACAUGGGCACCGACCACCGGAUCUGCACCACGGAGGUACCAGGAACCGCCACCGUGAAUGUCCACGGACUGCAGGAAGUGGAGUGCACGGGAGAGGUCCUUCUUCCCGAUCGCGGCCUCGAACUCACGCUAGCCUACUGGAGGUCGCAACGGACUACAUAUCCAGCAGCGUCAAGAGUUAGAACGAGAGCAGGACGGUGCUAAGCCGACUCAAAGAGCCGAGCCGUAGGAGACUAGAGAAAUUUCUAGGCACAUGUUUUAUGUUUGGGAGAGCCGACCUGAUAAUGCGUGCUAAUUCCUAUUGGAUCCUGUGGAAGUCCACGCGGCGCACAUCUAAGCAACGGCUGUAAGAAGGGUGGUUUACAGCCCUCCUGCACGGAAAUUUUUUCCACUUAAGAUGCCCUGGACGAUGAACAUGCAUAUACGUACGUACCCUUGACCGGAAGCUUCGCGGCGCCGGGCGUGGUCCUGGCAGCCGGCACGACAGAACCCGGCGGCUGCGCCUCGCUGCAAUAAUCGCCGUCGUCCAUCUCCGCACGGGCUGCUGACCGUGAGCCACCUGCCCGUCGUGACGGUGAUGGUCUCCACCAGUUGGUUCUCACGGUGGGCGACGAACAAGCAGCCAGCCGCAUAGGGACGGCGGCGGCGGCAGCCAUGGGAGCCAUGGAAGGGGUAGCUAGCCUUGGGGAGAGACAGCAAGGUAUGCGCGUGUGACGUGCAAGGAGCCAAGGACACCGAUAGCUGUGAAUGAAUCCGUUUUCCGUUGCUAGCUCCUCGGAAAGCUUUUGGCUCCAGCAGCUUAAUCGCAUUGAAUCAGUGGUGCAUGCAUGAGCUUUAUCGUUUGUCUGCUUGCUUCAUUGGGUGGCUCUCCCCUGGCGUGCUGUGUAAUUGGAGUCUUUGGCGAGGUGAUGGGUAUAUGACGGUGGAAGUGACUUGUCAUUUGACAAGUGCAAAAUAAAGUGUGCGUGUUUUGAGGACUAUAUUUUUGGUGUCUUUCGCGUAUUGGGCACGGGAAAGUUAAUGGCCAUAUUAAUCGAUUCACGCACCUUGAAUUCGCACCUGUUAUCUGUUUUUGCUAUUUGGUCUCACUUUUCACGAUCUGUUACGUGAUCGAGCUUUUUGUAGAGAGGAUCCAUCGCUAGUGGGAUUAGAGGUGGCCGUAGGGAGCUGGCGAGCAAGCUGCCCUCGCCGUCAGUCCGUCACCGUACAACGUCGUCGAUCGACCACCGGCGACGUGGGCGAGCCCCUGACCCGGCCUGCUGCCAAGCUCCUCCGCGGGCGGCGGCCAUGGCGCGCGCACGAUCCUUCCGUCCUUUUAUUCCCAAAUUCAGGAAAAAAGAGGGGGGGGGGGGGGGGGGGGGGGGGGGGGUCGCAGCUUAUGCUGGUGCAGCAUCUGGUAUUCUGGCAGCUGUCCCGGUUCGACCCGGAGCAGCACCAGCAGUCGUCCGCGCACGCCGACCGGGACCACGCCACCAUCGCCCCCGCAUCACCAGGAAUCGCCAUGUCCGCCGGCGUCCUCACCGGCACCGGCGCCAUGUCAGUCCGACGUACACCUGCUCGCCCUCCGGUGCCCGACCUAUGCAUCAGGUUAUUACUUAUAAGUAUAACUUAUUAUACAUUACGAUCGAAACGGGGGUGCAGGAAUUUUGAUGUAUGAGCGUAUAUACCUCGAGCUUGUGUGGUUGCCACCAGGAGGAGGAGGACGGCGGCGACGAGGGAGGCCAUCUUGAGGCUAGGCGCCAUGGCUGAUCUCGAUCUGCUGGGAGGUUCGCUCCCUCGUCGUCCCUUUGCGAUUUGGUAUACUGUUGCUUUUCGUGUGUGUAUAUAUAGAUAAACGUACACUGCGAAAGGAGGCGGCAUUGUAUAUCAUGAUGCAAUGCAAACGGAAGGUUUUCAUUGUUUACUUCAUUUCUGACUAUGUAACUGGACAAGUGUUUGUCCAGAUACUAGAAAUGCAAUUUUUUCGAGAUGGAGGGAUUAAUGUUUUCAUUGAAUUUGCCAGUCCAUACAUUACAUUAUUACUGCUAAAACGGGAGUAGUAUAGCUUGCGCCCGGUAAGCUGUCUGUCUAUUUGUUUUUCUGGGUGUGCUUAUCUAUAGCACCGACUUUAAUGCUUUCUAAAUGGAGUACUCCCUCCGUCCUAGAAGAAAAAAAGCAGUUUUGCUACGAAUCUGAACAAACGCUUGCCCAGAUUCGUAGCUAUAUAUAUAUAUAUAUAUAUAUAUAUAUAUAUAUAUAUAUAUAUAUAUAUAUAUAUAUAUAUAUAUAUAUAUAUAUAUUCCUUGCGAUGUAUCUAGGCAUAAUGUAAAUCUAGGUGCGUAGCAAAAGCUACAUAUUUAGAGAAAUUCAAAACGAUUUAUAAUUUAUAAUUGAGGGAGUAGUUUGUUGCAUUCUAAAGAUUUUAAACUUUAUAUGCUGCCACGGUUCAUUAAAUCUAUUAUGUUGUGUGGCCUUAUUCGGGGGCGGACCCAGAAUGGGGCUACGCCCCGGGAUGAGCUGCUAAUUCACAUCCAAAACAGUAUGAUCUUACCUUCUGAACCUUCUUUUCUCUAAUCGAGAUUGUAGUUUUUUAAGCUAAACACCACAUAUGUUAAAGGGGCUACAUGGGCUGAACCCGGGCUGCAGCACCCUAGCCCGGGGUCUAGAUCCGCCCCUGGCCUUACCUCUCGAUAUCCUCUCUCGUCUGGCAUGGUCUAAGUUUAAGACCCAUGGAACAGGAGGCGAUUAGUUAGCUCUGAAGAUGGUAGAUUCUCCAUUCAUCACAUGAAGUCAAUCAUCAUCAGGGCUUAUAGUAGAGAAGUACUAGAGAGCAGAGCAGCGGCCCAUACACGGGCAAAGCACAUGCAUGCAUGGUUGAUGGGCCUGAGAAAGGGGAGGAGAAGGAAGAAUCCUAGGUUGCUUACAUCACUUGCAUGCAAAAGUUAGUUUGAAUAGAAAAAAAAACUAUACAUCUUCUACAUCUUCUAUCAUCACAGUUGUUUCUUAAGAUAAGAAAAGUAUAUCGCUGGCAUCACUUGUAAUUUUUCUGCUGCGGGCUUGCACCAUAGAAUGAAAUUCUCUGGAACCUUUGGUGGUCAAAACGGUCAGAUGGCAGGUGGAGAAAGAGGAAACCUGGACCUGCAUCUCCUUCGUACGGGACGAACGGGAACGGGUCGCUAGGCGUCGGUCGCUUUUGGACCCUCGCAACAAAGAGAAACCUCUCGCGCGCGCAACACGCAUAAGGAUCUUGUUCAGUUACCUCAAAAUUCCAACUUUAACACCAUACAAAAAGAAAAUUCUCCAUAACAUCAAACUUACGGUACAUGCAUGGAGUACUAAGUGUAGACGAAAUUAAAAACUAAUUGCACAGUUUGGUUGUACUUUGCGAGACAAAUCUUUUAAACCUAAUUAAUCAAUAUUUGGAUAAUAAUUCAUAAAUACAAACAAAAUACUACAGUAUGCUAUAAUAUUAACACAGCAACUUGCCCAAAAUCAAACAACUAAACAGGCCCUAAAUCUCCCGUGAAAGAACGGAACACGCCACAGGCCACCGCCACACCAAGAUCACGUCAAGUACUCGUAGAACUCGUUGCCGGCCGGCGCCUGACGAAGCAUCACAUCAUCACCCGCUCACCCUUGCCUGCGUCUUCUUUUUCGCUUACCCGUAGGACCAAAGGGGGAACCGAUCCUCGCCGUGCUUACGCUGUUUCCACUUUCAAGAGGAAAAUACACCCUCGGUGCAUCAAACAAGUGUCAUCCAGGUUCCGAAUUCUCAAAAUGCACAUUUAACUCUCUAAAUUUACUAAUCGCUUCACGUGAUUCAUAAUCCGCGUUAAACACGUGGCACGCUGAUUGGGUUGCUGACAUGGACAUGACAUGCGGAGCCCACAUGGGGGGGGGGGGGGGGGGGGGGGGGGGGGGGGAGGAGCGGGAGGCGCCAUGGAACCGUCCGCCGCGGCGGAGCUAGAGGCCACGGAGAGGGUGGUGAUGUGGUGGGACUCCACGACGUCGGCGGCGUCCUCGGGCGGCGGGGACGACCCCGAGGACGAGCAGGCGAUGCUAUUCGACGGGCCGGCGACCGCGCGGAGCCGCGAAGGCGAAGCGGUUCCUCUGGGCGGUGGACGACAUCCGCUACCUGGCGCUGCCGUCGUCGGCGGGCUGCGCCUGCGCCGCCGUGCAGGUCGUGAUGGCGCGCCUCGAGAAUGGAAGUGGCGGCCGCAUCAGCUACUGCUCCAUGCCGAGCAUUCGUAAGAUCGACCCAUUCCCCGCGGACGCCAUCUCCGACCUCCACGCGAGGACCUUCCGGAGCCGCCAGAGCGGAGCACUGCCGCCGGCCCCUCCGUCUGAUUUCGCUGGCACCACUGCCCGUCGGAGGAAGCAGUGGCCACGGGAAGUUUUGCUGGGACAUCGCGCACCUCCGCCGCACCUCGCCGUCGACAAUUUGCCGCCGGAGCUCUUGGUCCGUCCAGCGCCGCCGCCUGGAGCUGGAGAAGCAGACCACCGCUCUUCCCCGACCGAUUCGUCGUGUACGAUGCAGCAAAGAGGGUGGGACGGUCUCGAGCGGUGCGGCGGGAGUGGGGGCGAUGGCAACUCUGAUCGCGCGCAGCGGGGGCAACAACAACUCCGAGCAGCUCCGACGGAGAAGGGGCUCCGCGCGCCGUCCACCAUCCGUCGGAGUUCUGCGACGCAGUGGAGGGGGUGGUCCUGAACGGCGUGCCUCAAAGGCAGGCUGCCAAAGCCGACGGCAACCGGUAGCGCGGCCCAGCGCGAGCGCACGCAGCCUCGCCGGAGGGGGGGCGGUCGGGGUCGCGGCCACUACGGGCGGACGGCGGCGAUAGGCCGGGGGUCGUGAGCCUGCGCGAGAUGGCGGCGGCGGCGGACGCAACCCCGACGGAGGGAACGGUAGCCGGGGCCAUUGCCACUGCGGGAGAACGACGGCGGCGGCCGGCGGCCGGGGGUCACGGGCCGGCGCAAGCAGAUGGCCGCGGUGGCCAUGGUUCACUGCGAUGGAUUUUUUUUCUUUUUUCUUUCGUUAGAAAAUGUGGGCCAUGAGAGCAUUAGAGAAGAGAGAUUGGACUGAAAUGUAGGAUCCACGUGUUACGUCUAUGUCAUCGUCCAGUCAACAUGCCACGUGCGUAGUUUUAACACGUGUUAUGAAGAUUUAGACAUUACAUGAACCGAUUAGCAAGUUUAGAGAUUCUAAUGUGCAUUUUGGAAGUUCGGUGGCAAGUUUAUGUACUGCCCGUGUAUUUACUCCCACUUACAACAAGAUUUGUCUAGACUCCAGUUGACCGUAGUGGUCUGACGACAGUACUCCGGUGUGUAGAUGACCUAGUACUAGAUGCUUUAUGCUUUGGGAGUGAUAAACUAAUGAGAACGUCUCUCUCUGAAAUAGUGAGCUGUGAUAAAACAGUAGUUACAAAACUCCCAAAUCCAGAUACAUGAUUUUCCAUGCUGCUAUGAUGAUACAAAAGUUUGACAUGGUAGUACACUCUUUUUUCUGUUUUUGCAAAUAAAUUUGAAUUAUAUUAAACUUGGAAAAGUACAUCCCGUCACAGGAGGAAUCGUAAAGAGGGAAGAAACUACAGCCAGGUUGUCUUCUUCUCUCCCGGUGCUCCCCAUCAGUCGCCGCCACUCCACACAACUUCAUUGAAGAUCAGUAAGCUGAUGAGGGAUCCCAUCCUUGGACAUUUGAAUUUGGUUAGGUUCACAAAUCUUUCUAUUUCGUCUGUACUCAUACCGUGGUGAAAAAGGUGAGAAAUGAAUUGGCUGAGUACUUGUUUCUGUUGGUUUCCAAAGGACCACAUACGACGAUAGUUCUUGGUUCCACUAAAAAAACUGAAACGAUACAAACGUUUGUUUUUGUCCUUUUCAUUACGGAUACGGGAGGACCACCUUUCUUUCACUAAAAGAAAAGCUAGACAUUUUCCACUGGCCUCUGGAAAUAAACAAGACAAAUGCUCAAAAUUUACCGAAAUCCCAUGGCAAGAACUCUGGGUCUCUGCCAUGCGCCAGUAGAUGUUCCUUCCAGCCACACUAGGCGCGGUGGCCGAAAUCUGCAGCCCCAUUUGGGACAGGGAGGAAUGUUUGUGGCGAGCAGGCGAGCAGCCUUGCCGCGGUAAAGCCUACGGCAAGUAGGCCGAUGAUUCUGCCCUGCAAAGCGCGGACACGGAACACAGGGAUUGCAUCUGCACUGCAUGCAAUGCAAAACAUCUUUAGCAGGCUCAGCAGUGGCCACAGCCAUCAUGCAUAGUAGGCCUGCCAGCACGAGAAAAAGGAACCAUCGAUCCCAGCAAAAUGCACGCCCUUCCAUUCCAGCUACCUCCUCGCUUUCACGGUCAAAUAUCUCAUAGUACUACGUGCUUUGUACUUUCAGAUGCACAAGGUAAUCAUCCAUCUCAAAGCAUACGCAAAAUGUGCAUAAACUUCAGGCAGUUCAGGCCUGUUUGGAAGGAGGAAAACGCAUGAAUUUUGGAGGUUUUCGUUCCAGAGGAAAGGAAAGCAACGAACGCGUUUGGAAUGGAGGAAAUGGCAAGAAUCUUUCCAGAGGAAAGGCGACAGAACCUGUACUUUUGGAUGAAGGAAAGAAUGAGGUCAGAGCCAAGGGAAAUCUUUCCUGUGACGAGCGCGCGCGUGCCGCCGCACUAAUCAGGCUUACCUGUAGUUCUUCUUCCUCAUCGGUCUGCGACCGUACCUUCCAGUAAGAACAAGAACUCCAAACCAAAAAAAAUCAAGAAACAAGAGUAACAAACGGAAAGAAGCACUCAUUUGUCCUCUCAAUAGAAGGAAUCAGCAAUAGUUGCACAAAUCUUCCGAACAGUUCUAGACAUAGGGACUCUGAAUCUGAGGAAAAAAGAAAGAAAAAACAAAAUCCCCACCAUAACAGAAAAGAGCAGGGACGAGAAAGAAGUUCCUCCGGGCACAAGCCAUAGAUUCGAGCGCUCGCCAGUCAUCACCAUGCUAGUUCUCGUGGAUCUGCGGCCGCGCACAAAGAAACUGAUCGGAAUGUGUUUGAGAGCAGGUCUGUGUGUGUUCGGUGGAGAACGAUGUCAAAGGUUCCAGAAGAUAAAGGUCGACGGUGUAUAAGGGCAUGCACAACCCACAGAGGGCUGGCCGUCUGCAAGAGCCUCGAAUCUGAUGUACAGACAGGACAGCUAGAGAGACAGAUCGUGCAAACGAACUGUUUAAUACUUUGCAUGUAGCCAAGAUCAUUCAUAAAUAUUAUUUUGUGUACCAUUAUAUUGCUAUUGAAUAUGUACAUGUGUUCGGUUCACUAUAAAUAAGACCACGGCAAGUAAAAAUUCUCUUUCACAUAUAAACCAUCAUCUGUACAUAUAUUGAAUCUUCAAUGAUUACUAAUAUCCACAGGUGCUGAAAUUACUAUCUAAUAGAACAGCAAUGGAUGAUUCAAGAGCCACUCAAUUUGUAGAAAAAUAUUUUAGGACUGAGAACCGAGUGUCAUUCAGUUCAUCUAUAAUUCAUGCAAGACAGGCAUAUAAACUUUUUGCAAAAGAACAUCACUAACAAAAUCAUUCCACCAACAAAUUAGUGCAAAUGCCAUUCAGUUUUCUAUAGAAUAGAGCUGAAACUGAACUACGAUCACCAAAAACAGAACUGCAGUUUUCUGAAAAAUAGAUAAGAGGAAACUAAGUUCAAUAAGAGGGAUAGAAAAAAUAAGGUUUCUCACACCUCUUUCUUCUCCAAUCUUCUCACUUCUCAUGAUAUUACUAUGUAAUAUAUAUGUGCAGAACUGAAACUAUACACACAAUUGCAAUCAGAACAAAUGAACAACCAGGUAAGUUAUACACAUAAUUCCAGCACGGAUUCUCCUCCCUUGCUUGCGUUCUCCGUUCCCUUCCUAAUCGUGCUGCCACUGGAAUCGAUCCAAGAGAGCAAGGUGGUUGCACGAAGCCACUAAAGAUGAGGAGAAAUCGGGCUGGCUACCAGUGCAUCCUCGAUUGCUGUCGAAUGGGGAUAAAUCAAUGGCGCCAGAUGAAGGUGUGGAGAAAUCUUUCGCCACCAAGCCAUUGCCUCCACCCGUGAAGGUUGGGACCCCGCCGCCAUGACUACGUCCUUGCUCUUCCUUGCCGGCACCACGCCCUAGCACUCUUCCAUCACCGCGCGCUCAACUCACUGGGGGAGAACAAACACAGAUGGAGAUGUAGUGGAAUAUAUAUGGUAGCGGGGAAGGAUUUUGGCGCCAUGGAUCAGCCACCAAGCGCGGCCGUAGCUGGAUCCCGAGCGCGCGUAGCCUAGAGACGACGCUCGUACAACGCUGCAUCUGCCAUCGCGUGAGCCUAGGAGCACGAGCCGCAGUCGUCGCGACGACCCCACCCGUCUCCAAGUUUGCAAGGGACGUUUUUGCAAAAUAUACGGUAUACAGACGGUGUAAUUAUUGCCGUUGUACAUGCCCUAACGUGCUAGCUAUGGAUUCAGUCCAUGGACCAUGGGCCCACGUGUAAGAGGGCGAGUGACAUACUAUUUGUAGUCCUAGUACAUAUUAUUUGCUAAUUAAUGCAUUCUCAAAGUACUAUCAAAUUUAUCACUUGUGUAACUAUCUAAUUCAUGCGUCAUAUGGCAUGUUCGGCUGAACUUAUAAGCUGGCUAAAAAGUUGAAACUGCUGAUUUGUUGUGAGAGAAAAAUAUUGUUCGAUGGCUGAUAAGCUGAAGCGAACAGAGCGAUAGAUUCCUACGUCCCAAAAACCAAACCUAUUCGCUUCCUAUGUUUUAUGUUUUUCCCAUCCUCUUUUGCCACUACGGUCAUAUUCCUUGCCUAUAUUCCUUGCCUGUGUUUUUUUCAAUUCCUCUGUUUUCAAUUCCUACGUUCCAAACAGGCUUUUUUUUUUUCCAAUUCCCGCGCUCCAAACAGGCCCUCAGAUUUCGUCUUCAGAACUGUUCCAGUGCCAUAUACGCGCCUUGUGUUCUUCCAUCCACAAACCUUUUGCAGAAACUAGAGGAGAUACAAAUGACAAUGAUGCACGUGCCAGAACUAGCAAUGGAAUUCUUGCAUUUUGGUAGUACUACCAAGUUUUACAACACAUUGCUGAACAAUCAAUGAAAAGAGGAACUGGUGAAGAGAGAAAUGAAAACGGCAGGCCUAGUUUGACACUCUCUAACUCCCUGUCUCUCUGGCAUCUAAACCGCCCUAAUGGCGAGGCACAUCCCAGAUGCUUGGUAAUUACAGAUUCUGGGGUAAUGGUCUGUGCAUAGAUUUCACUCACACAAUACCACUAGAUGGAUCUCAAUUUCUAGGUCUCCUUGGCUUUACCCUUCUUGGAUUUGGACGACUUCUUGUCAUGGUUCUUGGAACCGAGGCUGUUCACCCAGGUGUAGUCGCUAGGCACCGUGAAGGGGUCAGCGUUGUCCGCGACCUGUGAUAGGUUUGCGGGCUUCGAUCUUGAGCUCUUCGAGCUCCACUUAAGGUAGGAGCUCUUGUGGGUGUCGGCCUUGGCCAUGAUGCUUCCUGGCCCUGGGCUCGCCAAGAGGCUGGGGCUCGACAUCGGUGUGAAGAAUUCCUCCGGCUCAAUGAGGGGGACAAACUUGGUGAAUGUGAUGACCACCCUCACCGUCGGCACAACAGGGAUAGCAACCUGCAUGGACCAUGAAACCGAUCAAUCAGCUCAAGCCACAGAUAUGGUAUUACCCCAAAGCUGCAUUGUAUCUGGGAGUACAGAAAUGUUCUAUGAACAAGAUUAAGCUUCCAAGAAUAGCAAAUGGUGCACAUGGCCUUCAGAACAUGAUGAUAUAUGCCAAGAAACAGCAAAAGGUGCAGACAGGUUGCUACGUUUCAGCAACUGGUGGUGUCUGCACUUUCAAGUGAACACCACUUUUGUGAAACAUUGAGUAAACUUCAAUGAUAAGUGCUCCAUGCUGUAUGCCAAAUCAGUUUCUACUUUCCAAUGCGGCAGGUUUAGUUACUUAUCAAAGCUUUCGUUUAUCUUAGAAAUUGGCAAGCAUUCAUCAAACAGGACAGUUGCCUCUUUCCUUGUCCUCAAUGUUCGACGCAUAUGCAGGUGACUGGUGAGUAACUGCACUGGGUUAAAUCCCCUUAAAUUCGUGCCCUACAUUUACUCAGGUCGAAUUUGUACUAUUCAGUAGGAGUACUAAACAGUGAAGAACCGUUGCAACUAUCAAUCUCCACAGUUUUUGACUUUUUUCUUCCCUGGGGAUUACUCUCCACAGGUUGCAGGCCAGUACACCACCAAUUCUGCAUCAACUUCCUAUGUCAUUGCCACUAUGACAGCUGAACUGCCGCAAUCAUAGCAAUGAAGAAUCACUAGGCCUUAAAACUCUCUGGACAAGAAUCUGCAAGCAGAUGUGGGGUGAAUUGGGGAUUAUACAUCCAUUGAUUUGCCUUGUUCAGUUGAGUUAUUACUUAUUAGCACAUCAGUUGUGCUGAACUGCUGAUGCAUUACCAUUACACGAAAACUGAUCACAACACUUUGUUAAAUUCCGAAGCAUUCGGAAUUACUCGCAGGAUUGGGCAACCAUUGACAACUAGAACAAAGAAACAUAAGUAAUUCUGUGUCCUUGAUUGAGCAGGAGAGCAGAAUCAGUGCUGUUACCUUCACGGGGAAGGUCCCUGGUGGGAACUUGGUAGUGAGCAGCUCGCGGAGCCGGCGCACGGCGCGCACGCGGCUGGAAAGGAUGUCCAGCAGCGGCAGGAACUCAUCGACGCUCAACGGGAAGUCCUCCGUGAGCCACACCGACGGCCGCAACGUCUUCACCGUCUCCUCCUCCUUCCACUUGGCACCCCCCGUCGUCGUCGUCCCUGAGUGCCGGCCGAAGAUGCCGUCCUCGCCGCGCCCCACAGAUGCGCACGCCGGCAGCCGCCGCGGCACGUCCACGCUGUUCCUCCGCCUCUGCGGGGUGCCCAAGUGUGAGGGCGGCCCCGCCACGCUGCGCCGGCCUGGCACGUAGCAGCUGCGCCGCGCCGGCGGCGGCGGGAUGUCGGCAACCAGGAAGUCGCCGUCUUCGUCGUCAUCCCGGAUCUCAAGCGGCAGGAACUCGUCGUCGUCGCCGCCGUCCUCGUCUCCGGCGAACUCGAAAGUGAAGUCAUUGCGCCCAGCAUUCGCGGCCUUGAGGGUGCGGAAGGAGAAGACGACAUUGUGGACGUCGAACACCCGCGCCUUCCACUCGCCGACGUUCUCCGUCUUCUCCUUCCGCAGCCAGGUGGUCCUCGGCACGAGCCUCGCGGAGGAGAUGUUGAGCCCCGGCCGGUAGGCGGCCGCGUCGGAUGUGGCGGCGUCCUCGUCGCCCGCCGCCGCGGCCGCCGCGAACGCGUCGUGCACCUCGCGCCGGCCGCGGUGGAGCACGAGCAGCGACCCCGGGGGCAGGCGGCGGCCGCCCGCGUUAGCCUCCUCGCCGAAGAAGAGGAAGGAGUGGUCGGCGCGGCGGAUGCGGAGGCCGUCGAACCCCGCGAGCGUGGUGUCAGCGCGCAGGUCCGCGCCGCGCUUCCAAAUGCGGUAGGUGUCGGAGGGCGCGGCGCGCGAGAGCAGCGGCACGACGGAGCUCUCGAAGUGGAAAUCCACCUCGAGGUAGAAGUCCUGGACCCGGCGCAGCGCGGCGGAGAGCGCCGGCGCCCGGCGGCGGAGCUUGGCCCAGGCGGCGAGGCGGUGCGCGCGGAGUAGGCAGGCGGCGAUGUCCCUGCACCCCAGGCACAGCGCCUCCUGGAGUGGGGUCCACCCGGCGUGGUUCUGCAGCGUGGGGUCCGCCCCCGCGGCGGCGAGCGCGGAGACCAGGGAGGGCAGCCGGAGCCGGACCGCGAGGUGGAGCGCGGUGUCCCCGCCGGGGACGUCGCGGCGGUCGAGCGCCGCAGCGACGGAGGACGCGAGGCGGGCCUCCCGGGCGGCGUCGGCGGCGGUGAGGACGCGGGACGGGUGCGCGAGCGGCGGGAGGCCCGCGAGGAUGGCCUGCAGCCCCGCGGCGUCACGCAGCGCGACGCAGUGGUGCGCGGGGCUGUGCGCGUAGUCCGCGGGCCGGAUCGGCGCCGACGACGUGCGCUUGGGCCGCGCGCCGCCGCCCGCGGCGGAGGGCGAGGAGGAGGGAUCCUGGACGGGCAUUGCCUGCUCGGGGAGGGGGGGUGGGGAGUUGCUGGCUGGGCACUUGGGAUUCUCGCGGUUUUUCUCGGGUUCGGAGCUCGGCAGAGGAGCUCAGCGUCUGGUGCGGUGGUGUGGAGUGGAGUGGGGAACCGUGCAACCGUUGGGGAGGUGGGGGGGAAGAAGGGGCAGAACGAGAAGUGGCCGCGGGCCGGGCUGGAUCAAGAGCUAGGAAAUUAAUGCUGACUCAGCAGGCCCAUGGGUAUAUUCCGCUACAAGAUUUAAUGGAGAAUUUGCCUUUCUCGCCCAGCUUGGGAGUAGAACAGAAAUCACUAUCCUCCCCUGGCUCUAAGUAAGACACAAAUGAGCAAAUACAUGCACUCAUACCCACUUUUAGGAACACAAAGCAUAGAUAUGCGAGCAUUAUGCUGGAAAUUGCUAAUACCACGUGUAAAAAUUGUCCAUUCAUUCUUAACAAUUUUUAGCUCACUAAAAAGAUGGCAUAUGAAGAAACAUGAUGCUAGAGUAAGGGAUAAAAUCCGGUAAAUAUUUCAUUAUUCUCCGUUUUGGCGGUACCAUUUUGCUCAUAUAAGGAUAAGGUUUGAACAACCACCGUAUGUGCACGCCGAUCCACACUGGAUUGACUCGAUAAAACGGACGCAGUCCAAGCACGGUCACUUUCAUGAAGUAAAAACAGCAGCAGAAGGAGUGAGGAAUGCAACGGAUUGCUACAGAGGAGGAUAAACACAAAGUGCCAGGUCAUCAGUGGAAUAGACUGUAAACAGGAGCGUAAAGUGCUGGCCUCAACGUGGGGUGUGCUGACUGCGAGAAGGAUUAGUACGACAAAUCCAGCUUUUUCUAAGGAGGGGUGGGUCCGGGCCGGGCUGGGCCGGAUUCUGUGGCCCACGUCUUCUUCACUUUAUUCGUGCCCGCUGCAUCUCGUUUUCUUUCCCUUCUUGAUUCUGGUCAGCAGCCGACUGCUUACUCCUUUCGCUUUUUCUACUUCUCUUUUAUUUCCACUUUCAGACUGGACCUCCACGGAUUUGCAGCCAAAAACACGUUUGUUUACGCCUUCGAUCUGCUACCGAUGGGUGUCAUCUACGGUCUGAGCACGAAUCCAGCGGAUAGAAGCUUCGACAGCCUCCGUUUAUACUCAGCUUACACUAAUUUUUUUAUCGUCGCGAUCGAUCAUCUUGAUGAUCUAAGAUACUAUGAUCCAGCUCGUAUGCCUUGGAGGAGCACAAGUCUAGUUUUCUCUUUGUAGAAUCAGAUCGUUCUGAUUCUUAUUGGAGAAACAUACGCUGGAUUGAUGCAAAAUUGCAACAAAAAACUGUACUAGCUGGUGGCUCAUGCAAAGACCGUGAGGAAAAAGGAACAGGAACCCUGGCUCUCUUUAUUUAGGUCGCUGCUUUUGCCUUUUCCUUUUUGGUACGUACGAGAAUCUCGCUUCACCCCCCUUCUUUGAGUCGAGAGGCUGCCGACUGGUAGUAUUGCCUACUGCUACCCCCACCAUUUUCUAGUCCGUGGGAGGGGAGGAGAUCUCCUUUGAUGGGGAUGGGAGACGACGGUUGGAUUUCUUGGUUCGGAUCAGUGGAUCACAUUCAGGAUCAGAUCGCUUUGCCUUUCCUUUCCUUUUUCUUUUGUUUUCUUUCCUGCCUUGGAAUCCUCCAUCCAGCUGAGCUGGGUACGAACCGCUACAGAUUUGGGCCUUGGGGCCUGGAUGCUGCCGGGCCCACUCGCCGGCCACAACUAUACAGAAUAAAAAAUAAAUAAAAAGAAGAAGAACCACCUGUGACGGGGACGCUGCUCUCUUCCCUCCGGCCGGCACGAACCACUCCGUGCGUGUCCAUGCAUGGCGUUGUGCUUGUGCGUGGCAUGAUGGCGCGUCGCCGAUCCAAUCGAUCAAUUUAAGGGCGUCACGAACUCACCGACAGGCCGGAUCCUUGCUGAUGAUCCGAGGCCACCGGUCCGGGUAGGAUUCGGGAUCAUCAUUCUAUCGUGUUGCGGGUGGAAAGAGGGUGUGAUAAUUGAAGACACUUCAGUGAUGCACAGCACAAGGACUAAGCAUGCUCAUAGCUGCCGUCCAGACAUAGAGGCACGUACGUGGUAGUAGCAAUGAUUCUAUCACGUUGCGUUGCUAUGCUACGACACUGACACUCGCCGUCUGUGAUCAGACGGGGUUAUAAAGCACUUCCCUCGUCUCUUAUUAUUUGUCGCUCGGGAAGCGAGUUUAUGAGGAAAAUACGAUUUUCUAGAGGUAGAUAAAAAGGGACAGAAGGAGCAAUGCGAACCGUUUAUACAAAGUGGGCGACGCAAAACAGGAGCACGCGCUGUCACGGCAACUACUGGAGUGGCAGGUUGGGGAGCGCUGGAGCAGCGAAUAAAAACACACAGCAAAAGCCAAAAGGCCACGGAUGGCCCGUAUAGAUUUAUAGAAUACUCCUGGAGCACGAAGCAGAGGGGGCGUUGCUGCAUCGGGCUUGGCGACGGGGCAUAGCAAUAGCAUAGACGUUGCUGCAGCGUUGCACGAGGCCCAGGGCCCCUUCCUGUCUUGUGUCUGCUCUCCUCUUCCCAGUUCCCACCCGUCCUCUCCUAUCUCCUCGCUCCUCCUCAGCCCUCGCACCCAGGAUCUUCUCUGCCGCACCAUCUCUGCGCUCUGCUGCAAUCUCGCCGCCCGCCGCCGGCCGCCGGCUCGCUCGGACGCUCUGCCACGGCACGGGCGGCGGAAGCGGUGCGUUCGGCGCAGGAGAUCCUGCUGGCCUGCUACCACUGUUGCUGGAAAGAGAUGAGAGCUGUGGCAUGGCCUGCUGUGCCGUGCGUGCCCAUGGCCUUGUUAAUUAAGACGAGAGAGAGAGAGAGGGUGGAGGUGCCUGAGGUCCCCUGCCUGCGGCAAAUCUGCAAUUAUCCAUGUCGUCAGUUCAUCCAGUACCGCUGAUGCAUCACGCGACACAUACCGGCUCGUUCGGUGUGUCUGCCAGAUUUUAUUAUGGUGAGAUGGCGUGUGACGUGUCAUACAUCCAGCUAAGCACCACUAGUAACUAGUGUAAUCACAACAAUAUAUAUAGGUCUAUUUAAGUUUUUUUGUUAGUUACACAUUAGACUCCGUAGCAUUGAUCUUUUUCAGAGCAUCUAAGUUUGCACAUAAAUCGACAAUGCGAGGUUAACGCCAGCUACUACCAAAUUCACCGUGAAAAAAAAAACUUUUGAUGAUACAUUUAAAAAAAUAUACCCAUAUCAUAUCCUAGUGAAUUGAGAGUAACUCAGUUUGUUAUGUUCCUUAUGAUAGAACAUAUGCUUGUAUCUACGAUCAAUUAUUGCCGAUCUUAAGGCAAAACGAUCAAGUUCUUCAGCCCGGAGACGGACCCAAGAGGCCACCAUCUUGCCAGCGAAAAUCAUUACGGAUACCGGCAGGAUCGCGUACAACGUCAUUAGAGCCUGCCGCCAUGCCGCGUGCUCACCAAAAGUGCAAUUAUGCAAAUAACAAAGCACUCCAUUUCUCUACACGACGAGCAUUCAUGAUGCUGUACAAACAGCUUCACCAAUCAUGAACAAUUCAUAUGAUUGGAAUUCGGAAUCCACAUCGACUACGGUUUCCUCGACUGACUCGCCAUGAAAAACAGGAAACUUGGUAGUGUACAAUCGCAACAACAUAGAGCUCCCGCCCUACAUAAUCAUAGCAAACACCAUCAGGCCUCCGCAUCAACUUUACCGGCCAAAAACAAUACGACAGGCUAAUUUUGUCCUUAAACGGAUAGAGCAAUGGGAAUCUAUCGGCUGAACCAAGAAAAACAUAGCGUGACUAUGCCCUCAGCAGCGGCAAUUUAAAACGAACAUAAUGAACAAAGAUAACGCCAAUCAGUUAAUCACAGAUCAGACGAGCCCAAAGGCAAAGUGCACAAAUAUGCAGAGGCAAAUAGAACUCAGUACCACGGGCCAUUCCACCUUUAUAAUGCCCAAAACACUUCAAACCUAAUGACGAAAUAAACCAUUGAAGCAAUCCGGCAGCGUAGUAGAGACGACGUGUAUGUACACCAUGUUUACGACGGCAAGAAGCAGCAGCCUGGUCAAGCUUGUUUAUUUACAGUGGCAGGGGGCAGCUGCUUAGGCAGAGCCGAAGGUGUUCUCGCCACUGUAAGUCAUGUAGAGGAAGCCGUCCUCGUCCUUGUUCUCCUCAUAGAUCGCGGAC
rnacentral:lncRNA from 1 species